rnacentral:rRNA from 1 species
UACGAAGGGGGCUAGCGUUGCUCGGAAUCACUGGGCGUAAAGGGUGCGUAGGCGGGUCUUAAGUCAGGGGGUGAAAUCCUGGAGCUCAACUCCAGAACUGCCUUUGAUACUGAAGAUCUUGAGUUCGGGAGAGGUGAGUGGAACUGCGAGUGUAGAGGUGAAAUUCGUAGAUAUUCGCAAGAACACCAGUGGCGAAGGCGGCUCACUGGCCCGAUACUGACGCUGAGGCACGAAAGCG